UACGGAGGGUGCGAGCGUUAAUCGGAAUUACUGGGCGUAAAGCGCGCGUAGGCGGCUAUUUAAGUGGGAUGUGAAAGCCCUGGGCUCAACCUGGGAACUGCAUCCCAAACUGAAUAGCUAGAGUGUGUCAGAGGGUACUGGAAUUUCCUGUGUAGCGGUGAAAUGCGUAGAUAUAGGAAGGAACACCAGUGGCGAAGGCGAGUACCUGGGAUAACACUGACGCUGAGGUGCGAAAGCGUGGGGAGCAAACAGG
rnacentral:rRNA from 1 species